rnacentral:rRNA from 1 species
UACGUGGGGGGCGAGCGUUGUCCGGAAUUACUGGGCGUAAAGGGUGCGUAGGCGGUUGUCUAAGUCAGAUGUGAAAUCCCCGGGCUCAACUCGGGUGGUGCAUUUGAAACUGGGCAACUAGAGUGCAGGAGAGGGAAGCGGAAUUCCUAGUGUAGCGGUGAAAUGCGUAGAUAUUAGGAGGAACACCAGUGGCGAAGGCGGCUUUCUGGACUGUAACUGACGCUGAGGCACGAAAGCGUGGGGAGCAAACAGGAUUAGAUACCCUGGUAGUCCACGCUGUAAACGAUGGAUACUAGGUGUAGGGGGCGUAGAGCCUUCUGUGCCGCAGCAAACGCAAUAAGUAUCCCGCCUGGGGAGUACGGCCGCAAGGUUGAA